rnacentral:rRNA from 1 species
AACGAACGCUGGCGGCAGGCUUAACACAUGCAAGUCGAACGCCCCGCAAGGGGAGUGGCAGACGGGUGAGUAACGCGUGGGAACAUACCCUUUCCUGCGGAAUAGCUCCGGGAAACUGGAAUUAAUACCGCAUACGCCCUACGGGGGAAAGAUUUAUCGGGGAAGGAUUGGCCCGCGUUGGAUUAGCUAGUUGGUGGGGUAAAGGCCUACCAAGGCGACGAUCCAUAGCUGGUCUGAGAGGAUGAUCAGCCACAUUGGGACUGAGACACGGCCCAAACUCCUACGGGAGGCAGCAGUGGGGAAUAUUGGACAAUGGGCGCAAGCCUGAUCCAGCCAUGCCGCGUGAGUGAUGAAGGCCUUAGGGUUGUAAAGCUCUUUCACCGGAGAAGAUAAUGACGGUAUCCGGAGAAGAAGCCCCGGCUAACUUCGUGCCAGCAGCCGCGGUAAUACGAAGGGGGCUAGCGUUGUUCGGAAUUACUGGGCGUAAAGCGCACGUAGGCGGAUAUUUAAGUCAGGGGUGAAAUCCCAGAGCUCAACUCUGGAACUGCCUUUGAUACUGGGUAUCUUGAGUAUGGAAGAGGUAAGUGGAAUUCCGAGUGUAGAGGUGAAAUUCGUAGAUAUUCGGAGGAACACCAGUGGCGAAGGCGGCUUACUGGUCCAUUACUGACGCUGAGGUGCGAAAGCGUGGGGAGCAAACA